GGAGUUGUAGCUCAGUGAUAGAGCACUUACCUAGCAUGUAUGAGGUGCUGGGUUUGAUCCUCAGCAUCACAU
rnacentral:tRNA from 1 species